rnacentral:pre_miRNA from 1 species
UUAAUUGAAAUUGUAUGGAGUUGGAACGUUUGCCUACGUUUGCCGCUAGGGGCGCUGUUCCAACUCCAUACAAAUUUGAGUUU